rnacentral:rRNA from 1 species
UAGGGAAUAUUAGUAAUGGGCGAAAGCCUGAACUAGCAACGCCGCGUGUGUGAAGAAGGCCUUCGGGUCGUAAAGCACUUUUUGAGAGGAUGAGGAAGGGCGGUACUCUCAGAAUAAGUCUCGGCUAACUACGUGCCAGCAGCCGCGGUAACACGUAGGAGGCAAACGUUAUCCGGAUUUACUGGGCGUAAAGCGCGUGUAGGUGGUUUGGUAAGUAGGGCGUGAAAGCUCCUGGCUCAACUGGGAGAGGACGUUCUAAACUGCCAAGCUUGAGGAUGGUAGAGGGAGGUGGAAUGCCGGGUGUAGCGGUGGAAUGCGCAGAUAUCCGGAGGAACACCAGUGGCGAAGGCGGCCUCCUGGACCACUCCUGACACUCAGACGCGAAAGCUAGGGUAGCAAACGG